GGGUGAAGCGGAGAAUUUAAGCCCCAGUAAACGGCGGUGGUAACUAUAACCAUCCUAAGGUAGCGAAAUUCCUUGUCGGGUAAGUUCCGACCUGCACGAAUGGCGUAACGACUUCUCAACUGUCUCAACCAUAGACUCGGCGAAAUUGCAUUACGAGUAAAGAUGCUCGUUACGCGCGGCAGGACGAAAAGACCCCGGGACCUUCACUACAACUUGGUAUUGGUGCUCGAUACGGUUUGUGUAGGAUAGGUGGGAGACUGUGAAGCGGUCACGCCAGUGAUUGUGGAGUCGUUGUUGAAAUACCACUCUGAUCGUAUUGGGCCUCUAACCUCGAACCGUCUAUCCGGUUCAGGGACAGUGCCUGGUGGGUAGUUUAACUGGGGCGGUUGC
rnacentral:rRNA from 1 species